AUUUGGGCUACUUCUCUAUUCCUUUUGGUUUUGGCUGGGUUCCAAUCUAGAAAGAAAGAGAGAAGGGGGAAGGGGGAGGGGUCUGGAAGAAUAUCGACAGGAGGAAGAAAUUGACUUUUCUCCAUUUUUUUCCAAGGUAUUUGACAAGCAACUUGCUCAAUGACUCUAUUCCAGAAUGGAUUAAGAACAGAGAUAACCGCUAUUUAGUACUCAUUGCAUAUAAACUGUGGUGUGAGAGCAACCACCGUUGGAGACAUCAAAUUCGAAGAUGAUACAGAUCUUGGAGGUGGAGCAAAAUUUGUUGAUGACUACAUAGCAAAUAAUGUAUCGACACUUGGAAUGGAACGCUAAGGAAUAUGCUUUGAUGCAAUGUUAAACAUAGCAACCCAUAUUGUAGCACACUAAUGUUUUUGUCCCCUGAUGCAAUGUUAAACAAAUAAUUGUCACUGAUUCAUGAUUUUGUGGAACAAUGACUAAUACGAAUUGUAUCUUAGUGGGUCUAAUGUAUUU